rnacentral:tRNA from 1 species
GGGGUUCUAGCUCAUUGGUAGAGCGCUCGCUUAGCAUCGUCACGACUCGGUUGCGAGAGGUACAGGAUUCGACUCCCUGGUACUCCA